rnacentral:rRNA from 1 species
GUGUCAGCAGCCGCGGUAAUACGUAGGGGGCAAGCGUUGUCCGGAAUCAUUGGGCGUAAAGCGCGUGUAGGCGGCUCGACAAGUCUGCUGUGAAAGUCCGGGGCUCAACCCUGGGAUGCCGGUGGAAACUGUCGGGCUCGAGUCCGGAAGAGGCGAGUGGAAUUCCUGGUGUAGCGGUGAAAUGCGCAGAUAUCAGGAGGAACACCUAUGGCGAAGGCAGCUCGCUGGGACGUGACUGACGCUGAUACGCGAAAGCGUGGGGAGCAAACAGGAUUAGAUACCCUGGUAGUCC